ensembl:snoRNA
CCUGAAGUCUGUCUCCAUGGGCUUCUCCAGUAGCCACAGCGUUGGAAAUGCCUCAUACAGUAACUCUUGUGGUUUUGCUUGACUCACAGGACUGUUUCUCAGGUUUAAGGGAAAGAACUACAAGACAGUU